rnacentral:rRNA from 1 species
UUCCGGUUGAUCCCGCCGGAGGCUACCGCUAUUGGAGUUCGAUUAAGCCAUGCGAGUCGCGAGAAUUAGAUUCUCGGCGUACCGCUCAGUAACACGUGGGUAACCUGCCCUAUGCUGGAUAAUAACCUCGGGAAACUGAGAAUAAUGAUCCAUAGUUCACUACGCCUGGAACGGUGAGUGGAUGAAAGCUCCGGCGGCAUAGGAUGGGCCUGCGGCGUAUCAGGUUGUAGGGGGUGUAAUGUACCCUCUAGCCCUCUACGCGUACGGGUGUUGAGAGACAUCGCCCGGAGAUGGAUUCUGAGACACGAAUCCAGACCCUACGGGGUGCAGCAGGCGCGAAAACUUGGCAAUGCGAGAAAUCGUGACCAGGGAACUCCAAGUGCAUGGGGUAAGACCUAUGCUUUUCUAGACUCUAAAAAGGUCUUGGAAUAAGAGGUGGGUAAGGACGGUGCCAGCCGCCGCGGUAAUACCGGCGCCUCAAGUGGUAGUCGCUUUUAUUGGGCCUAAAACGUCCGUAGCCGGUCUGAUACAUUCGUGGGUAAAUCAACCAGCUUAACUGGUUGAAUUCUGCGAGGACGGUCAGACUUGGGACCGGGAGAGGUGUGGGGUACGCUCAGGGUAGGGGUAAAAUCCUGUCAUCCUGAGCGGACCACCUGUUGCGAAGGCGCCACACUAGAACGGAUCCGACGGUCAGGGACGAAGCCUAGGGGCACGAACCGGAUUAGAUACCCGGGUAGUCCUAGGUGUAAACGCUGUGGACUUGAUGUUGGGGGUGCUCCGAGCACUCUCAGUGUCGAAGCGAAGGUGAUAAGUCCACUGCCUGGGAAGUACGGUCGCAAGGCUGAAACUUAAAGGAAUUGGCGGGGGAGCACCGCAACCUGAGGAUUGUGCGGUUUAAUUGGAUUCAACGCCGGA